UACGUAGGGUGCAAGCGUUAAUCGGAAUUACUGGGCGUAAAGCGUGCGCAGGCGGUUCGUUAAGUUGGAUGUGAAAUCCCCGGGCUCAACCUGGGAAUUGCGAUGGAGACUGCAAGGCUUGAAUCUGGCAGAGGGGGGUAGAAUUCCACGUGUAGCAGUGAAAUGCGUAGAGAUGUGGAGGAACACCGAUGGCGAAGGCAGCCCCCUGGG
rnacentral:rRNA from 1 species